rnacentral:rRNA from 1 species
UACGAAGGGGGCUAGCGUUGCUCGGAAUCACUGGGCGUAAAGCGCACGUAGGCGGCUUCUUAAGUCAGGGGUGAAAUCCUGGAGCUCAACUCCAGAACUGCCUUUGAUACUGAGGAGCUUGAGUCCGGGAGAGGUGAGUGGAACUGCGAGUGUAGAGGUGAAAUUCGUAGAUAUUCGCAAGAACACCAGUGGCGAAGGCGGCUCACUGGCCCGGUACUGACGCUGAGGUGCGGAAGCGUGGGGAGCAAACAGG